rnacentral:tRNA from 1 species
GCGCGGAUGGCGGAACUGGUAGACGCGCCAGGUUGAGGGCCUGGUGAAGGAGACUUCAUGGGGGUUCGAGUCCCCCUCCGCGCA